UUGGAGGGCAAGUCUGGUGCCAGCAGCCGCGGUAAUUCCAGCUCCAAUAGCGUAUAUUAAAGUUGUUGCAGUUAAAAAGCUCGUAGUUGAAUUUCGGGGUCAAUAAGUUGGUCGUGCCAAUGGUAUGCACUGGCUUUAUUGAUUCCUACCUCUUGACGAACUGUGAUGCCAUUAAUUUGGUGUCGCAAGGAAUCAGGACUGUUACCUUGAAAAAAUUAGAGUGUUUAAAGCAGGCUUACGCUUGAAUACAUUAGCAUGGAAUAAUGAAAUAGGACGUUUGAACCUAUUUUGUUGGUUUCUAGGAUCGACGUAAUGAUUAAUAGGGAUAGUUGGGGGCAUUAGUAUUCAAUUGUCAGAGGUGAAAUUCUUGGAUUUAUUGAAGACUAACUACUGCGAAAGCAUUUGCCAAGGAUGUUUUCAUUAAUCAAGAACGAAAGUUAGGGGAUCGAAGACGAUCAGGUACCGUCGUAGUCUUAACCAUAAACUAUGCCGACUAGGGAUCGGGUGAUGUUAAUUUUUUAAUGACUCAUUCGGCGCCUUACGGGAAAC
rnacentral:rRNA from 1 species